rnacentral:misc_RNA from 1 species
UACGAGGGGUGCAAACGUUAUUCGGAUUGACUGGGCGUAAAGGGUGCGUAGGUGGCAUUUUAAGUCUGUUGUUAAAUCUUUUGGCCUAACCAAAAGGUCGCGAUGGAUACUGAAGUGCUAGAGGGCAGAAGAGAGAAGUGGAAUUCUCGGAGUAGCGGUAAAAUGCGUAGAUCUCGAGAGGAACACCGAUGGCGAAGGCAGCUUCUUGGUCUGCUUCUGACACUGAGGCACGAAAGCGUGGGUAGCAAACAGG